rnacentral:rRNA from 1 species
CCUACGGGCGGCAGCAGUGAGGAAUAUUGGUCAAUGGACGAGAGUCUGACCCAGCCAAGCCGCGUGAAGGAUGAAUGCCCUCUGGGUUGUAAACUUCUUUUAUAUGGGAGUAAAAUGUUCCACGUGUGUGCUUUUGUAUGUACCAUAUGAAUAAGGAUCGGCUAACUCCGUGCCAGCAGCCGCGGUAAUACGGAGGAUCCGAGCGUUCGCCGGAAUUAUUGGGUUUAAAGGGAGCGUAGGUGGAUUGUUAAGUCAGUUGUGAAAGGUUGCGGCUCAACCGUAACAUUGCAGUUGAAACUGGCAGUCUUGAGUACAGUAGAGGUGGGCGGAAUUCGUGGUGUAGCGGUGAAAUGCUUAGAUAUCACGAAGAACUCCGAUUGCGAAGGCAGCUCACUGGACUGCAACUGACACUGAGGCUCGAAAGUGUGGGUAUCAAACAGGAUUAGAUACCCCAGUAGUC